rnacentral:rRNA from 1 species
UACGAAGGGGGCGAGCGUUGUUCGGAUUUACUGGGCGUAAAGGGUGCGUAGGCGGCGCGGUAAGUCGGGUGUGAAAUCUCGGGGCUUAACUCCGAAACUGCAUUCGAUACUGCCGUGCUUGAGGACUGGAGAGGAGACUGGAAUUUACGGUGUAGCGGUGAAAUGCGUAGAUAUCGUAAGGAAGACCAGUGGCGAAGGCGGGUCUCUGGACAGUUCCUGACGCUGAGGCACGAAGGCCAGGGGAGCAAACGGG